rnacentral:rRNA from 1 species
AGCAGCCGCGGUAAUUCCAGCUCCAAUAGUGUAUAUUAAAGUUGCUGUGAUUAAAACGCUCGUAGUUGAAUUAUAAAGCAUUUAGUGCUUGGAGGCUCUGUUCGCAGGGUUGAAGAGUACAACAAACGAAUGCCUUAGGUGAUGCUCUUCGGAGUGUCAUUACUUUGAAAAAAAUAGGGUGUUUAAAGCAAAUCUUAUGUUAAUGAAUAAUGAAGCAUGGGACAAUAUCGAGGAGAUCUUUCGGGAUUUCGAGAAAAGGAUUAAGAGGAACAAUUGGGGUGAUUCAGAAAAUAACGGGAGAGGUAAAAUUCCAUGAUCGCUAUAAGAUGCACGAGAGCGAAAGCAUUUCACUCAAUUGCGUUCAUUAAUCAAGAACGAAAGUUA